CAGUCAUGUGCACUGUUAGUUCAACUGCUACCAGUUAAGCUGAUUUUAUAAGGAUCCCAAGAAUUUUUCCUGCUACACAGGAAACAGACUGAAAAAUGAAAGUUUUGAUGUUUAGUGUUGUUGCUUGUUUUUAUCGACGGUAUUAGGCGGUGACGCGCAGGAGGAACGUCGGCGCUGUUUCGACUGUCACGGUCAUGGCCAGGAGUGCGCCACAACCGACAACGUAGCCGAGUGCCUGGUGCACGAAACCACCUGCUCCACCAUCGUCACCGAGAUCGCCAACCCGCAGAAUUCCAACGUUAAAAGUUACAACGUGGUGCGGCAGUGCGGCCGGGGUCCCUUAGCCUACAAAGCGUGGGUGGCGGGCGCCAGUUACGCCCAUUCCGCGGAGGUGGGCACGCGCUGCGUCACCACCACCCAAAUGCAGGAUGACGAGUUCGAAGCGGACGAGAGUAGUAGCGGACGCAUCGUGGAGUGCUGGUGCCAGAGCGAUGAGUGCAAUAAUCAGCCGACGGUCAAUCUGCCCGACGGCACGGAGAUCUACCUCGCACCGGCCGCCGACGACACGCAGGAUCAUUAUGAAUAAUUCUGUGUUGCACUAGUAGCAUUUUACAUAGUAUAUUUGGACACUGCUGUGCAGUGUGGGAAUGAAAUUAAAUUAAUCAUUCAAAGCUUUGGUAUCAAGAUACGGGUAUACUGGAAAAAUAUUAAAAAUAA